rnacentral:rRNA from 1 species
UACAUGGGGUGCAAACGUUGCUCGGAAUUAUUGGGCGUAAAGCGCGCGUAGGCGGUUGCUUAAGUCGGAUGUGAAAGCCCUCGGCUUAACCGGGGAAGUGCACCCGAAACUGAGCAGCUUGAGUACGAAAGAGGGUCGCGGAAUUCCCGGUGUAGAGGUGAAAUUCGUAGAUAUCGGGAGGAACACCAGUGGCGAAGGCGGCGAUCUGGGUCGAUACUGACGCUGAGGUGCGAAAGCGUGGGGAGCAAACAGG